AGAGUUUGAUCCUGGCUCAGGACGAACGCUGGCGGCGUGCUUAACACAUGCAAGUCGAACGAUGAACACCGGAGCUUGCUCUGGUGGGAUUAGUGGCGAACGGGUGAGUAACACGUGAGCAAUCUGCCCCCGACUCUGGGAUAACCCCGAGAAAUCGGAGCUAAUACCGGAUACGACACCUCCUGGCAUCAGGUAGGUGUGGAAAGAAUUUCGGUUGGGGAUGAGCUCGCGGCCUAUCAGCUUGUUGGUGAGGUAAUGGCUCACCAAGGCGACGACGGGUAGCCGGCCUGAGAGGGUGACCGGCCACACUGGGACUGAGACACGGCCCAGACUCCUACGGGAGGCAGCAGUGGGGAAUAUUGCACAAUGGGCGCAAGCCUGAUGCAGCAACGCCGCGUGAGGGAUGAAGGCCUUCGGGUUGUAAACCUCUUUUAGCAGGGAAGAAGCGAAAGUGACGGUACCUGCAGAAAAAGCACCGGCUAACUACGUGCCAGCAGCCGCGGUAAU
rnacentral:rRNA from 1 species